rnacentral:rRNA from 1 species
UACAGAGGGUGCAAGCGUUAAUCGGAAUUACUGGGCGUAAAGCGUGCGUAGACGGUUAUGUAAGUCGGGUGUGAAAGCCCCGGGCUCAACCUGGGAAUGCCAUUCGAGACUGCAUAGCUAGGGUGCGGAAGAGGCAAGUGGAAUUCCCGGUGUAGCGGUGAAAUGCGCAGAUAUCGGGAGGAACACCAAUGGCGAAGGCAGCUUGCUGGGACGGUACUGACGCUGAGGCGCGAAAGCGUGGGGAGCAAACAGG